CCUACGGGUGGCAGCAGUGAGGAAUAUUGGUCAAUGGGCGAGAGCCUGAACCAGCCAAGCAGCGUGAAGGAUGACUGCCCUACGGGUUGUAAACUUCUUUUAUAAAGGAAUAAAGUGAGGCACGUGUGCCUCUUUGUAUGUACUUUAUGAAUAAGGAUCGGCUAACUCCGUGCCAGCAGCCGCGGUAAUACGGAGGAUCCGAGCGUUAUCCGGAUUUAUUGGGUUUAAAGGGCGCGUAGAUGGGUUGUUAAGUCAGUUGUGAAAGUUUGCGGCUCAACCGUAAAAUUGCAAUUGAUACUGGCAGUCUUGAGUACAGUUGAGGUAGGCGGAAUUCGUGGUGUAGCGGUGAAAUGCGUAGAUAUCACGAAGAACUCCGAUUGCGAAGGCAGCUUACUAAACUGCCACUGACAUUGAUGCGCGAAAGGGUGGGUAUCAAACAGGAUUAGAUACCCCAGUAGUC
rnacentral:rRNA from 1 species